UGGAACGAUGAUGAGUCAAAGCAGACCUGUAAUGAUUUGCGGAGGUGAUCGCAACAUAUUACGAACAUCUAAGGGACUUAGUUCUA